rnacentral:rRNA from 3 species
UUAAAUUGAAGAGUUUGAUCAUGGCUCAGAUUGAACGCUGGCGGCAGGCCUAACACAUGCAAGUCGAACGGUAACAGGAAGCAGCUUGCUGCUUUGCUGACGAGUGGCGGACGGGUGAGUAAUGUCUGGGAAACUGCCUGAUGGAGGGGGAUAACUACUGGAAACGG